AGCACCUCCAAUGUAAAGUUCUUAGUUCUUAGUUUUUAACUCAAAAAUAAAAACUAAGAACCUUGCAUUGAAGAUGCU
rnacentral:pre_miRNA from 1 species